UGGGGAAUAUUGGGCAAUGGGGCGCAAGCCUGACCCAGCAACGCCGCGUGAAGGAAGAAGGCUUUCGGGUUGUAAACUUCUUUUAAGAGGGAAGAGCAGAAGACGGUACCUCUAGAAUAAGCCACGGCUAACUACGUGCCAGCAGCCGCGGUAAUACGUAGGGGGGCAAGCGUUAUCCGGAUUUACUGGGUGUAAAGGGAGCGUAGACGGUGAGACAAGUCCGAAGUGAAAUCCCGGGGCUCAACCCCGGAACUGCUUUGGAAACUGCCUGACUAGAGUGCAGGAGAGGUAAGUGGAAUUCCUAGUGUAGCGGUGAAAUGCGUAGAUAUUAGGAGGAACACCAGUGGCGAAGGCGGCUUACUGGACUGUAACUGACGUUGAGGCUCGAAAGCGUGGGGAGCAAACAGGAUUAGAUACCCUGGUAGU
rnacentral:rRNA from 1 species